rnacentral:rRNA from 1 species
UACGUAGGGGGCAAGCGUUGUCCGGAAUCAUUGGGCGUAAAGCGUGUGUAGGCGGAUCGUUAAGUGUCUUGUGAAAUCCCACGGCUCACCCGUGGAACUGCUGGGCAUACUGGCGAUCUUGGGCCAACUAGGGGCAACUGGAACAAGCGGUGGAGCGGUGAAAUGCGUAGAUAUCGCUUGGAACGCCAAAGGUGAAAACAGGUUGCUGGGGUUGUGCCGACGCUGAGACACGAAAGCCAGGGGAGCAAACGGG